rnacentral:rRNA from 1 species
UCCUACGGGAGGCAGCAGUGGGGAAUAUCCACAAUGGGCGCAAGCCUGACGCAGCCCGCCGCGGGUAUGAAGAAGGCCUUGGGUUUGUAAACACUGUCAGCGGGGAGGAAGGUGAGAGGAGAAUAACCUCAUCAAUGACGUACCGCACAAAAGCCCAAUUCCCCG